GAUGAAGAACGUAGCGAAAUGCGAUACUUGGUGUGAAUUGCAGAAUCCCGUGAACCAUCGAGUCUUUGAACGCAAGUUGCGCCCGAAGCCAUUAGGCCGAGGGCACGCCUGCCUGGGCGUCACACGUCGUUGCCCCCCCAUCUACUCCUUCGGGAUUGCGGGGGGCGGAUGAUGGCCUCCCGUGCGCCUCGCCGCGCGGUUGGCAUAAAUGCCAAGUCCUCGGCGACGCACGCCACGACAAUCGGUGGUUGCGAAACCUCGGUUGCCCGUCGUGUGGAGUCGUCGCGCAUCGAGGGCUCGAAAAAAUUGCCGGGUUCCGGCUCGGCUUUCAACGCGACCCCAGGUCAGGCGGGGUUACCCGCUGAAUUUAAGCAUAUCAAUAAGCGGAGGA
rnacentral:misc_RNA from 1 species